CCCAGGUCGGGUUUAUUGCACAGUAAAUUAUUGCACAGUAAACCCAUAUAGCACUAAUUGCAUGUGUAGACGUGCCUAGUGGGUAGUAAGUCUUCACUGACAACAGUUUUGGAUAUUGUUUUUAAUUUCUUUCUACUGACAAUUCUUACCAGUGCUAGAGUCCUGGGGAAUGCCCACAAACAAAAGAAAUGUGGAGAAGGGCCCUGGCAAAAGAUACUGAAGAUACUGUCAGAGAAGUAGGACAAAAACCAGAAGAUGGGUAUCUUGAAAGUCAGUGAGCAGGAACUGCUCUGAGACACAGCCUGCCACAGCUUGAAAACCAAGCUGCGUACGCCGUGAGACAUUGAAACUUCAGAAAUUUUCCCUGCCGAGUCUGAGAAGUAAGGACAAGUUUUUUAUCCAUGUUUUUUCCUGACCCGCCUUGUCUGGUUUCUGAAGAUGCAAACUUAUCUCACUGAGUAAAGACAAAGUAAAAGUCAUACCACAUUGUAAGCAAAGCUAUAGCACGUGGUAUUAUUGUGGAAUGAGUCAAAGUAAAUUGGAGCAGAGAUGGAAUGCAGAUGGCUCCAGGCCCUCUGAUGGCACAGAUUAUUAAGGCCUGUUUGCCUACAGAAGACUUCCAGGAUUUUCUUACCUAUAUGAGCUUUGUUUCUUCUUCACUAUGAGUGCUUGUCCGCAGUAUCGGCUUUAUCUGGCUAAAGAUGUUCCUAGGAUUUUUUCACUGUCGUAAUGUACCACGACUAAUGAUAUAACAUGUACGUUAUUUAGCACGUUAUGGCCUAAUAUGCUAUUACUAGUAAAAAACGCCAGGGGGCACGUCAUAACAAGUCUACCCUCUUGAGCUCCCAGUACUAAUUUCCACCAGAGGGCAUUUUAAGAUAGUAUUUGAUUCUUUGGUUGGUCUAUUUUCUUGGGUUGGGCCGGGUUACUUUCAUUGUGUGGGGGUUGUUGGUGGCUUUGGGGAGUUUUGAGUUCAAUAAGCAGUGCUUCCCGCCUCCCCUGCAAAGCCUGCCACCCCCUCACAAGUCUGGCUUGGCAUCGGGGGUCAGUACCACAGGCCACCCAAAGGGGCUGCCCCCCUGGCCAAGCCCUUUUCUGCACUUUUGCCUCCCACUUUCUCUGGGUGCUUGUUGCACAGGGCUCCUUGGGGUCGGGGCAGGAAAUCUUUCCAUGCAAAGGUCCGCAAGCAGCUGCUUGCCACCCCCUCACAAGUCUGGCUUGGCAUUGGGGGUCAGUGCCACAAGACACCCAAAGGGGCUGCCCCCCUGCCUCCCCUUCACAAGUCUGGCUUGCCAGCAUCCCUGGGUGUUGGCAUCGGGGUUACCACAAGCAUUACAUCUCCCACACACUUUGCAAGGCCACCCAAGGAGGCUGCCCCCUGCAAAGUCUGUUCCGGCCAUUUUUUUCACAGGGUUUUGGUGCUCUUUUUGGAUGGGAUAUUCGUGCUCUUUUCUAGCCCAGCUCUAGCCUGCCUGGAGCUUUUUUUUUUUUUUUUUUUUUACACCAAAACGAGGCCAGUGUAGGGGGGUUACUGCUCUGCUCAAGACCUGUAAAUUGUGGGAGCAGUGGUAGGGUGCAUAUAUGCUGUAUCGACAAGAGAUUUUUUGAGGUGAAUGAGAAACAACAGCACACCAGAGGCAGAAGGACUCAGCCCAGCGGGGACACUUGCCCCUGGGUGGCACAGGAAUGCCAAUGCAGCAUUCAAGAAGAAUGCAGGCUGCUGCUGAAGUUGGGUGCAGUGCAGCAUUUGAGUGCCGGAUGUGAGCCGCUCUGAGACCUGGGACUUGAAAGACAGCACCACUUUAUGCAUUGGACAAUAACUCUCACUCCGGUGCCUCACGUAGAAUGAUUCAAUUCUAUGACAAGCUGUCUACCACCCUUAAAAGAGAUGCAUCGCAGGCUUGCCUGAACGAUUCUGGGACAACAACUUUGUUGCACGAGGAACCAGAAACUCCCCAGUGCCAUAGUACGUCAGCAGCCACUUUGCAAGCUCCAAGCAAUCAGCUUCCUCAGUCGCAGACUCAGUCACAGAUGAGUGACCUCACUUGGGACUGCUCAAGGGACCUCUAUGGCACACAGCCUGAAAUGAGCCUGCCCUCUACUCCGGUUAACCCACGCAUUUUGGUACCAGACACCCAGGAUGAUCGGCAGCAGGGGACCAGAAACAACUCUUCUGUUCAUGAUGAGGAAGAGGACUCUGACUCAGGUUCCCAACAACCCCUUCUACUGCAGCAGUCAUGAAUGACACAGCUGCGGGUGGUCCCCAGUUGAGUGGCGGGGCACCAUGGCGGUGAGUGGGGACCACCCGAAGCCGCCACCAGCGGUGUCAGCAGCAGGGGGAGUUGGCGAGCAGCAAGCAGGGACCACCCACUGCUGCCACCGGCUGUGUUGGCGGUGAGCAAGGGACAGGUGACCGCCCGCAGAAGCCAGUGGCAGCUUUGGCAGCAGCCAGUCUCAGGGAAGACCCGUGCCCCCCGUGCCCUGCUACGGCUCGCCCACGGCAGCAGUGGUUCCUGGAUCAUCAAGAGCAGCUGUUAAUGCUCAUGUCAACACAGUUAUAGAACAAAUCAAAGAACAACUAAGGAAAAUAUUCUUCAGAUACUACCAGAAGCGUCCCAAAACAUAUCUACAUCCACUGGUUGAAUGACAUGCAAAAUUCAUGAUAUCUUUAAUAGGUUAGUGAAGAGGGAGAAAACCAAUUUCAAUCUUAUGGAAACCAGGACUAAUGAAAUGUUACAAUGUUUUAAGGAAUUCAGUAAGAAGGCUGAUUGUAGUUUGCAGCUGAAGCAAAGGUUUAGACAGGAGUUUCCAACACAGUUUCAUGAUUGCAACAGUACUGAGAGCAGUAUUGACAAUAGGCCACCCCAACCAACUGUUCAUUCUCAUCCUAAAGAGAGCCGUGUCUCCUCUAGCCGCAAGAGGAGAGCCCCAAGAUGAUUCAAGGAUGAAGGACAGGAGGAUACUGAGCAGCCCCAGGGAGGGUCCAAGAGGGGGCAUCUCGUGGGGUAGCAUGUUCUUGUGCCUAAAGCAUGAGCGUACAGAAAGCUGAGCAAUGUCCUAACACAAUUCCCAUUCAACAGGCAGUCCUCAAUGAUCAAGCUGUAACUGAAUUAAUGUAUUUUUUUUCUCAAUUUCAAUUAGAUAGGCUUUUAUGUGAAAAGGGGGUGAUGGGAUGCUCUAUUACCCACUGUGGUGGUGUUCUUCUUAGGCAAUGCUCCCUCAUCUGCUGUCACCGCAAUUUUCUUAAAGCAGGUUAUACUUCUAUCCAGCAUUUCUCUUUAACAUUAAACAUGAGGGUGGGGGGGUGUGAACUCAGUUAGGUCCACUCUCUAUAUGUUUUUUGGUUUAACUGCUUUAGUAUUUUUUUGAAAAAUGAGGGAGAAAUAAAGAUCCCCAAAGGACUUUUGAAA